rnacentral:tRNA from 4 species
GGGCCUGUAGCUCAGGUGGAUAGAGCACCGGAUUCCUAAUCCGGGUGCCGCGUGUUCAAGUCACGCCAGGCCCACCA